AAGUCGUAACAAGGUUUCCGUAGGUGAACCUGCGGAAGGAUCAUUAUUGAAUUUUUGAGGAAGUUGUUUGCUGGCCUUUCGAAAGGGGCAUGUGCACGCUUCGUUCAAAUUUCCAACUCUUUAUACACCUGUGCACUUUUUGUAGGGUUGUGGCUGUAAAAGGCUGCACUCUAUGUUUAUCAUAUAAACUCUUUAGUAUGUGUAGAAUGUUCAUUGCGUAUAACGCAUCUUUAUACAACUUUCAGCAACGGAUCUCUUGGCUCUC
rnacentral:misc_RNA from 1 species